rnacentral:rRNA from 1 species
AUUGAACGCUGGCGGCAGGCCUAACACAUGCAAGUCGAGCGGUAGCACAGAGAGCUUGCUCUCGGGUGACGAGCGGCGGACGGGUGAGUAAUGUCUGGGAAACUGCCUGAUGGAGGGGGAUAACUACUGGAAACGGUAGCUAAUACCGCAUAAUGUCACAAGACCAAAGAGGGGGACCUUCGGGCCUCUUGCCAUAAGAUGUGCCCAGAUGGGAUUAGCUAGUAGGUGGGGUAACGGCUCACCUAGGCGACGAUCCCUAGCUGGUCUGAGAGGAUGACCAGCCACACUGGAACUGAGACACGGUCCAGACUCCUACGGGAGGCAGCAGUGGGGAAUAUUGCACAAUGGGCGCAAGCCUGAUGCAGCCAUGCCGCGUGUAUGAAGAAGGCCUUCGGGUUGUAAAGUACUUUCAGCGGGGAGGAAGGUGUUGAGGUUAAUAACCUCAGCAAUUGACGUUACCCGCAGAAGAAGCACCGGCUAACUCCGUGCCAGCAGCCGCCGUAACAC